UGACUCCAGGAAGUCACUGCUCCUGGCCAACAAAUAAAUCCAACAGGCUCAUCUGGGUAGCCGGGCUGUAGUGGAGGCGACACUGCGUGGAAAUAUGGUCUUCACCUUGAAGUCGAUGCCCACCGUACUGACGAA